GAGACGGGUGAGGAGGUAGUGGAUGCCGAGGAGAAGGACGGUAUAUCGUCCACAUCUUCGAUGUCAAACGAUCUCUUCAAGGCUGGAAAUAAAAAGAAUUGAAGUUGUUAGUGAUGGAUAUUACCACUCUUUGGUCUUAGAGUUUCCACCUGAUGUCUCACCUUCAUGGACACUAGACUUGCAAGUAAGAACUUCUGGAGUGCAGAGAGGAAUAAAUCACAUGCAUAAGUCUUUGGAACGCUAUUUCUCAAGGAAUGCCAACUGUUGUUUGGUCCAUAGGCUCAAACAGGAAACGUCACCCACGCAAAGGCUAAUAAAGAGUUUUGUGAGCCGUUC